ACGGUGAAACUGCGAAUGGCUCAUUAAAUCAGUUAUCGUUUAUUUGAUAGUACCUUACUACUUGGAUAACCGUGGUAAUUCUAGAGCUAAUACAUGCUAAAAACCCCGACUUCGGAAGGGGUGUAUUUAUUAGAUAAAAAACCAACGCCCUUCGGGGCUUCUUGGUGAUUCAUGAUAACUUAACGAAUCGCAUGGCCUUGCGCCGGCGAUGGUUCAUUCAAAUUUCUGCCCUAUCAACUUUCGAUGGUAGGAUAGUGGCCUACCAUGGUAUCAACGGGUAACGGGGAAUUAGGGUUCUAUUCCGGAGAGGGAGCCUGAGAAACGGCUACCACAUCCAAGGAAGGCAGCAGGCGCGCAAAUUACCCAAUCCCGACACGGGGAGGUAGUGACAAUAAAUACUGAUACAGGGCUCUUUUGGGUCUUGUAAUCGGAAUGAGUACAAUUUAAAUCCCUUAACGAGGAACAAUUGGAGGGCAAGUCUGGUGCCAGCAGCCGCGGUAAUUCCAGCUCCAAUAGCGUAUAUUAAAGUUGUUGCAGUUAAAAAGCUCGUAGUUGAACCUUGGGCCUGGCUGGCCGGUCCGCCUCACCGCGUGCACUGGUUCGGCCGGGCCUUUCCUUCUGGGGAGCCGCAUGCCCUUCACUGGGUGUGUCGGGGAACCAGGACUUUUACUUUGAAAAAAUUAGAGUGUUCAAAGCAGGCCUUUGCUCGGAUACAUUAGCAUGGAAUAAUAGAAUAGGACGUGCGGUCCUAUUUUGUUGGUUUCUAGGACCGCCGUAAUGAUUAAUAGGGAUAGUCGGGGGCAUCAGUAUUCAAUUGUCAGAGGUGAAAUUCUUGGAUUUAUUGAAGACUAACUACUGCGAAAGCAUUUGCCAAGGAUGUUUUCAUUAAUCAGUGAACGAAAGUUAGGGGAUCGAAGACGAUCAGAUACCGUCGUAGUCUUAACCGUAAACUAUGCCGACUAGGGAUCGGGCGAUGUUAUCAUUUUGACUCGCUCGGCACCUUACGAGAAAUCAAAGUCUUUGG
rnacentral:rRNA from 1 species